AUGAGGAAUAGAAGGAAUGCUAUCAAUUCUGUGGAAUCUCCGAACGGUAGGGUGGAGGAUGUGGUAGGAGGAUGUGAAUUUUUUAAGAAGAAUUGGGAGUUAGUCAAGGAGGAAGUAGGAUGUUGUGUGAAGGACUUUCAUUCAAAAGCUAGGCUUAAGAAAGCUUGUAUGGCUUCGUUUCUGGUGCUUAUCCCGAAGGUGAAUAUCCUCAAUCUUUAUCUGAAUUUAGACAUAUUUGUCUAG